CUUCUGUGCUCAGACCUGAAGCUUUCCUUGUUGUCAUAGCUGAACGGGUUCUAUCAUCGCCAGUGAACUGUCAGUGAUUUGGACAACAUUUCAACUGUCGCAAGUCACUUGGAAUUUGAAGAAUUCUUUUGGGUGAUAGUCCAGUGUAAGUGCGUUUCAAGAGAACAACCGCUCCCCCUACUGAUAUGGGUGUAAAAAUGCUGCAGUGCUUUCCCUUCUACAGACGCUGCAAGGAGAGGUGCAAAAGACAGUGCCCUCCUGAGACGGCAGUAGCAAGUGAAGAGGUGAAACCACGGCUGUGUUCCACUACUUCCUGGGGCAGUGAAGGGGACAGCAGCAGCAGUCUGAGUUGCCCACAGGCCUAUUUUUCCCACAAGGCUCGGCUCUCACUUCGACACCAGAUGGAUAGCAACAUCAAUGCAGUGGAUGCCACAUACUAACUUUGUUCUUUAGGCGGUCUCUGGAAAAUCCUUGAAAAGUAAACUUCCGAUUUACAGCCCCAGUCCAGUUUAAGUCCUUUAUUGGAGAGUUUUUGCGGGGAACUGGAGGAUGAGCCAUUAGGAGGAGCAAGCAGCAUGGAAGUUUGCCUCUCCUUGCAUGCCUAUGGACAGUCAUGAGCGUCAACUGUAUGCAUUGUAGUAACAAUGUCAAGAUAAGUGUCUGAAUUUCUCUAAUUUAACAAUACAGCAAUGAGUGUAAAAUGGUACAGCUGAGUGUAAUUUGGUGAAAGGGGAUAUUAUGAAACACUCUUAAGAGUUACAGUAUGUUUACAUGAUAACCAAUAAGUGCUUUUUUUUCUAGCCUGUAGCAUUUGCCCUCCACAGCCUCUGCCAUACAUACAUCUACAGUAUCUGAAAUGGAUACUGGUUUUAUCUGAGGAGACACUGGCAUCUUAAUGCAAUUGGGUUUUUUGAGCCAGAUAUAAAUUUGUUCAGUAGGAUACGUUGAUGAAUAGCAGUCUACCUAAUAAAGUCAACCACGCUAUGCCUUGCUGGUCAUAAAUUCAGUGUGUACUGUUACUGUAAAGCAACUGACUGUUUCUUUUUUUUUUUUUACAUAAACUUUCUAAAGCUUAUUUUUCUUUCUAUGUAAGUGCCAUUUUCUCUGCCCUACAACUGCAUCAAGGUCCAUUAACAUAGUGUGCACAGCUCUAACUUUAAUUAAAAUUUUUUAUUAUGUUUAGAUUUCAGGGCUUCUUGAAAUAUGCCCUGUCCAUAAACACAUUUAGCUUGAGAAGUGUUUUUGGAACAAUUCUAUUAAAGAUGGUUGUUUCAUGGACUUUAUGUAAGUUAAAUCUUACCAACUAAUGUAUUAAUAUGAAGAUGGCCUGUUUUUUUCUUAUUGCAUGUAUAAAACCAAUCAAGUGAAUGAAGAUGUUUGUUGUGAUCCACUCAUUGCUUCCGUUACAUGUUUGAAAAAAAAAAAAAACAGGUUUUACAUGCUAAUGAUGUGUACCUGGACUAAGCCUGUCACGAUAACAACUUUUUGUUGUGCAAUAUAUUGCCCCAGAAAUAAAUGUGAUAAACAAUAUUAUUGUCAUUUUAAGACCAUUUUAUGCCACUGAAUAUAUAAUCAUAACAGCAUAAUAAUGCGAGAAGGCCUACACACUUUCAAAUUAC
rnacentral:lncRNA from 1 species